AACGCACAUUGCGCCCGCCAGCAUUCUGGCGGGCAUGCCUGUUCGAGCGUCAUUUCAACCCUCAAGCACCGCUUGGCGUUGGGGCUCUACGGUUGACGUAGGCCCUCAAAGGUAGUGGCGGACCCUCUCGGAGCCUCCUUUGCGUAGUAACUACUUAUUCUCGCACUGGGAUCCGGAGGGGCUUCCGGCCGUAAAACCCCCCAAUUUUCCAAAGGUUGACCUCGGAUCAGGUAGGAAUACCCGCUGAACUUAA
rnacentral:misc_RNA from 1 species